rfam:Sphaerobolus stellatus SS14 unplaced genomic scaffold SPHSTscaffold_219, whole genome shotgun sequence.
UCCUUGCUAGCCUAAUCGAUAGAGCGUGAGACUUUUAAUAAUAAGCGUAUCUCAAGGUUGGGAGUUCGACUCUCCCAUGAGGCU